rnacentral:rRNA from 1 species
UACGUAGGGUGCAAGCGUUGUCCGGAAUUAUUGGGCGUAAAGAGCUCGUAGGCGGUUUGUCGCGUCGGCCGUGAAAUCUCCACGCUUAACGUGGAGCGUGCGGUCGAUACGGGCAGACUUGAGUUCGGUAGGGGAGACUGGAAUUCCUGGUGUAGCGGUGAAAUGCGCAGAUAUCAGGAGGAACACCGGUGGCGAAGGCGGGUCUCUGGGCCGAUACUGACGCUGAGGAGCGAAAGUGUGGGGAGCGAACAGG